rnacentral:rRNA from 1 species
GUCCACGCCGUAAACGAUGGGUGCUAGGUGUGGGGAGUGUCGACUCUCUCCGUGCCGAAGCUAACGCAUUAAGCACCCCGCCUGGGGAGUACGGCCGCAAGGCUAAAACUCAAAGGAAUUGACGGGGGCCCCGCACAAGCAGCGGAGCAUGUGGUUUAAUUCGACGCAACGCGAAGAACCUUACCAGGGCUUGACAUGCACGGGAAUGUCGUAGAAAUACGGCAGCCCUUCGGGGCUCGUGCACAGGUGGUGCAUGGCUGUCGU